rnacentral:ncRNA from 1 species
ACCAUCCUUCUCGUGGGGUUGUGCUACUGUCCAGUGAGCACAUGGUGAGAGCAAUACUGCUAACGCCUACGCAACACACCCACAUCAACUACAGUGGUGCAAUUUUUUGAAAA